UCCCUGGUGGUUUAGUGGUUAAGGAUUCAGCAUUGCCAUUGCUGUGGUUUGGAAGAUCACUGACACAGCUGGGGUUCGAUUCCUGGCCUGGGAA
rnacentral:tRNA from 1 species